GGGCCCGUUUUGACACGGGCGUCAAAAGAAGAGGUUGGAGGAGCCGUGUCACUUAACAAAGCCGCGCGUUCUUUGCCACUUGCUCGAAGUCAGCCCGCCCGAUCUUGUGAAUCCACACUUUUCUUCGUUUUGCGUUGCGCCCGGCGGAUGGUAAAACAAAAAGCUUUUUGCCGUCACUGGGUCUGUUGUGGCAACCGUAGGCGCAGCAGCACGGCAUCGCAAUUAAGCACUCGGCCCUAACACAUUGUAUAAAACUACCGCGCUCCUUCAAACCGCCUGCCGUACUUCGUCGCGGAGGCCCAAAAAUGGGGGUCGCAGGCCCAAGAUUGGGGGUCGCAGCGCGCUGGAAAGAAAAGAUAUACAAAAGUGCGGCGCCUGCUCUGCGCCGGAAAGAAAAAAAUAUACAAAAGCGCGGGGCCCGCUUUCACGUGACACAGAUUGGCCAAUGGGGGAGCGGAGGAGGCUGGGGCGACAGGAGGAGUGGAGGAGGAAGCGCCUGGGUGAGCGGGGUGGCGGAAAGAUCUAAGAAUGGCGCUACUUUUGGAAAAUUGAGGGGCUUUACAUAGUGUCAGCCGGCAGCGCCACUGGCGGCAAAAUUUGGUGAAUAAGAGAGGGCGACAGGAAAGGGGUCGCAGGGCGACGGGGAGCCCUUCUGCCGGGCAUUGAAAAAAUAGAGGAGGCGCUGGUUGGGGGUGAAUGCGAAGUGGACGCGUUGACAACGUAGGGGAGCAUGGCGCCUCGUCGCGUGGUUGUGAAAACCGGGUCCAGGAAAGGCAAUUCGCCGUAUUGCUGCGUUUAAGGCUGUCACAAAAGCUACAGGAACACUGCUGGAAAAUUGCCGCCGAUCAAAUUCUACCGUUUUCCUUGGAAAUCGUAUGAGACUGAAAGAAGACAGAGGUGGAUCGCAGCUGUCCGCCGAGCAAGCUCAGAGGGAGAGCUGUGGCAACUGAAAAGGAAUGAAACGCGAAUAUGCAGUGUUCACUUCGUGGGAAACGAGAGAAGCAACAUCGCUCAGCACCCAGCGUACAGUCCAACAAUAUUUCCACCUGGCUACAAAACAUGUCUCAGUUAAAACAAGUCACAUGUAUUUAAAAUUAGAAGUGUAUGUUAAUAAAAAAUCAAACCUCCUCACGGCAGCCUGGCCCUUGGUGAUUUCGGCAAUCUCCAAUAUUUGAUCAAUGUUUUUUUGACGAAUUGUUUGUAGAAAUCUUUUUCAGGGAUAGGCAUCUUUGAGACCAUGUUUUCACUUUUCAGAAUAAAAGGAGAGGUCGAAGUGACCUUUAGCGCACUGUG